rnacentral:rRNA from 1 species
UACGUAGGGGGCAAGCGUUGUCCGGAAUUAUUGGGCGUAAAGCGCGCGUAGGCGGUGAUGUAAGUUUGGUGUAUAAGCCCGGGGCUCAACCUCGGGACGCACUGAAAACUGUGUCGCUGGAGUGCAGGAGAGGAAAGUGGAAUUCCACGUGUAGCGGUGAAAUGCGUAGAAAUGUGGAGGAACACCAGUGGCGAAGGCGACUUCCUGGCCUGUUCUUGACGCUGAGGCGCGAAAGCUAGGGUAGCAAACGGG